rnacentral:lncRNA from 1 species
GAAGAAUGAUGGCCUUAGAUGACUUCGUGGACAUGAGUUCUGGAUUUGUUACGAGCUUGAAGCGGGGGAUUUUGGAAUCAGAACGGCAAAGGGGUAUUUUAUAGGGGAAAGUAGUAUUUAAUAUUCUGUAUCUAACAGCAUCUCAUGCAUGAGAAGGAAUAUAAUGACACUCACUGGUUGGAAGGAGUUUUCUGCUAUUGCACCCGGUUCGUUCCAGGUCUCCAACAGCCAGGGACACAGCCAAACAAUCUAUUAACAUGACCUUUAGCUGCAAGGUUGGGAAGGAAAAGUUUAAUGACUGAAUUUUCUGCUGGUUAAUGUUGUUACAGUUGUUCUGAGCACUGAGAGUCAACCAGAAUUGGAAAGACUUGUGUAAGUGGGAACUGAGCUAAAGAAACAAACAGCCCAAACCCUUCAAACCCUGGACCGGCCAGGCAAAGAACACUGCUAAAAUGUUAUACUUCAGAGAACAACACAAGGCUUUUUUAGCCACGAUCAGCAAAUUAAUGAAAAAAAGAAUUUCAUGUCAGUUUUCUCCCUAAAAAUAAAUUGUAAGUGGAAGAUUUUCAUGCAUUUGGGUUCCCUUUUUCUGGAGCUUUUGUUUACAGUGCAGAGAGAGUUGACAGGAAGAGGAAGGCAGGAGAUGGGAUUUGAAGAAGGAAGGGACAGAGACCUUACCCUACGG